rnacentral:sRNA from 1 species
CUUCAAGGAAUGGAGCAAACGGCGGAGCAGGGAUACUUUGGCCGGUUUCAUCUACUCCGCCUCUAAAUCCAAAUAAACAGGAUGUCGGUUUCUUUGAGGCUUUAGCACGAAUUCUCUCAUCCUCCUUGUUAAAUUUUUGUUAAAUUCACAAUAUUAUAUACCAUUAGCCCGGGCGCUGUUCUUCUCAUUUCUGAAUUUAUGAAAAGUAAGUUGGCACCACCUUUUUCCCAAUUCCCAUAUCAAACAGAAAAAAACACACCUGCCCUUUGGCCUGUGCGUUUUUAC